GUCCGUGUUGACUGCCAGGAGGUCGGCACCACUGCGGGAAGGGUGGAUGGGGCGCUGGUCACAGGGCCCUUCUCCGCCAGCGUAGGCCCCCAGGACCCUCUCAGAGGCCUUCCACCUAGGGCUGCCUCAGAGGGGCCCAGACCUCACCUGCCGCAGUGAGAGGCGGCCCCUUGGCCCUGGGUGCUGUCCUGGGGCCAGGUGGGCUGUCCUGCAGUCUCCACCAAGUCUGAUUUUUCAGGUUCCUGGCACCCCUCUGCCCCCAUGAACAUGUACAGUGGGCCCACUUGCCACGAGGGGGUGCCAAGACUCUGGGGGCCCCAGGCAGCAGAAGGUGGUGGGGAGAGAGCCUGGGUGUCAGGAGAGCACUGUGGGGAGCUGAAGGAGGGCCCGAAACACAAGGCUGGAUACCCACUGUGGAGGGGCAUGGAGUGGGGCUAGGGGCCGCCUGUGCGCACCCCCUUGCUGCCCCGUGACGCUGCACACCCAGCCCGUCCCACUCCAAGGCAUCUGUGUGCAAACGGGAGCCACUGCCAUCCACCCCCACACCCACCAGUGUUGCCCAGACUGCUCCACGGCCAGCCAGCGGGGGACUCCUGGGUCCUGGCGAAGCUGACCACCCUCUCCAUUCACCAAGGCGGCUGUUCAGGAGCACAGCCCUGCUCUGCCCUCCUUGUUAACGGCCCCACCUGUGUCCAGGUACCCCCUUGUCAAUUUCUCCCUCGUGGCUCUGACCAGAACGGCAUUUCUCUAUGCAGACCCUGGGAAGGCCAGGAGACCAGAGCAGGUCAAGGCCUGUCCUAAAGGAGUUCCACGCUCUUCGUGGUGUGAGCAGCCUGGCAGGCGGAGGACCACACUGCCCUGCAUACGUGCUAGUUCCCUUGGGGUGGCAGCAUCCGUGGUCUCGGCCCAGGUCCCGCUCUGCACGCCAGGGUGCGGCAGGGUAAGCAAAGGUCAUUCCGGGCAGCCGCCUCCAGAAGGGCAACGCUGGGGGGGAAGAGGACCCGCUUCUGUGGCCGGCCGUCGGCCACCUCCUUCUGUGACUGCGUCCGCAGGCCUCUCCUGCCAUGGGCCUCCUUCUCGGCCUGGGCCCACAUCUUCACCUGCUGGGCACGUCGCUUCUGGGCGUGCUUCAGCCGCUCCUGUGUGCUCAUCCUGCCCACCGUGGGCAUCUCUGCCAGCAGCUCCAGGAGCCGGCGGCCCAGCUGUGCACGGCAGGCGCUCCCGCUGGCCUGAGAGGAGGAAGCAGGAAGCGCGUCAAGGCCAGACGGCGGCGACGGCUCCACCCGGAGCCCCGCCCUGUGUGAGGGCGAGCCCUGCCCGGGAGAUCCUGGCGGAGGGGAGGGGGCUGGCAGUGCCCGCAGUCUGGCCCACACGCUCGCCGUUUCCAGCAAGGGCCUGCAGGCUGUGCGGCUGAGAGAGGGGCGCAGGGCCGGCACUGCCAGCUCGCUGCGGCCUUCCUAAGAGGCGGCCCCUCGAGGCCUCCGGCUCAGCCCUUGCCCCGCAGCGCCCCUGACCUGUGCGCCCUGGGCCGGGCCGGCUGGCCAAGGUCACCUUCUCCUUGGGCUCUCCCGGACUCCCCGAGCGCUGUGCGGCCUAGGCCUUCCCGAGAGCAGGCCCUGCCGCCUGGACACCGGGCCGCCCUGCUGCUCGGCCACAGCUGCGGAGGGCGGAGGGCCUGGCCUGGCCUGCCCCGCACCCCAGCUCCUCAACACCCGAGUCUGGGCCUCUUCCUCGCCGGGCUUUCUGUUUCUAGCUCAGGCCACUCGGUGCUUCGCUUCCCUCUGCCAUCCUGGGCGGCGGUCCAAGCCCUGGUUGUGUGAAUGCAGGCGCAGGUGGCCUGCCUGACAGACAGGUGGGCCGGCAGCUGGGCUGGGGCACAGCCCCACAGUCCCCACCAUGGCCCGUCCUGCGCAGCACGCCCGGUGUGCUCACUAGGCAUGAUCCCAGGACACUCCUCGGGAGGCCAUGGCCAUGCUCCACCUAGAAGGUACCCACCGGCAGCUCAGCCUGCCCACCGGGAGUCCCCGUUCCCACUCGGCCAGACCUUGUGGCCAUCUAGAGACUGACCCAGGCUUCUUCUGGCCAGACUUGUACUCAGGGGUCUCAGUGAGUGCCCCCUUCUUUCUGGAGGGGGACUGUCCUGGGCCAGAUCAAGUGAGGUCAGGUCCCUCCUGCCCCGGGACCCCCAGUGUGUUGGGAGCCUCGCAUUACAGCUCUGCCUCGCCCUGGACUUUGCUGGUACUCCAGCUAUCCGCUCUGCGAGCCAGGCCUCAGAGGCUACCAGGGGACAGGAAAGAGCCCUCCAGGCAGACAGCCCCCAGCUGGCCACCUCUGCAGAUGAGCUGCCUAGCCCCCCUGCCUGGAUCCCCCAAGUCCCACCUCUGCCCUGACCGAGACAGGCAGGAGGCCUGCAGGCACCGUGGCAACUCCCCACCCAUUAGGCUGGGGGUGGAUCCCAGACCAAACCCAAGGCGUGGCAGGGCUUUCACUGGCUCUGUAAGACUCUCCCUCCCUGCUGGCCACUCACAGGCAGCCUCAGGUUCCCCUGGAGGGAGCUGGGACCCCCUGCAGCCCACACAUGGGAUCUUCACCUGUCUGGGGUAGGUCUCUGAAGAGCCUGCCCCAAGAGACGCGGGAAGGAGGAGCAACGCACUCUGCCCAGGGCCACCCCCGACCCCGUCACAGAGGAUGCUGCCCCCACCUGUCCACGAGGGAGGAGGUCCCCUGCAGGCCAAGGCUCCACGGCAGAGCGGGCUCACAGGGCCUCAGCGACCAUCUUCUCCAAGUGGGCGCCAACAUCAGAGCCACAGCCCGAUUUUGUUAAGUUUGACAAGAUUUAGGAGAUGUCAUCUACCCCAUCAUUUUAUGGAAGAAAAGAGAUUCUGACGCCCACGUCCUACAGAAAUUCCCCUAGAGGGGACUUCCCUGAUGGCCCAGUGGUUAGGACUGCAUGGUUCCACUGCACGGGUUCGAUUCCCUCAUCGGGGAGCUAAGACCCCUGCAUGCGGGGGAGCAGGGUAGGGGACAGAAAACAACCUAAAAUAGAGUAACCACCAGCUUUUCAAAUUGAA